UGGGGAAUCUUGGACAAUGGGGGCAACCCUGAUCCAGCAAUGCCGCGUGAGUGAAGAAGGCCUUCGGGUUGUAAAGCUCUUUUGUCAGGGAAGAAACAGCAGCUCUAACACAGUCUGCGAAUGACGGUACCUGAAGAAUAAGCCCCGGCUAACUCUGUGCCAGCAGCCGCGUAAU
rnacentral:rRNA from 1 species